GUGGUAUCCGCACGAGCGCAACCCCUGCUGCUCUGUUGCCAACAUGUUAACGCUGGGAACUCGGGCCGAACUGCCGGGGACGAACCGUGAGGAAGGUGGGGACGACGUCAAAUCCUCAUGGCCCUUAUGUCCUGGGCUACACACGGUGCUACAAUGGCCUGGUACGGAGCGAUGCAAAACCGCCAGGUACAGCAAAUCGCGGAAAACCGGUCCCAGUUCGGAUUGGAUUCUGAAACCCUACUUCUUGAAGGCGGAAUCGCUAGUAAUCGCGCAUCAGCAUGGCGCGGUGAAUAUGUUCCCGGGCCUUGGACACACCGCCCGUCACACCACCCGAGUCGGGGGUACCCGAAGUCGCUCGUCUAACCAUCAAUGGAGGACGGUGCCUAAGGUAUGCCUGGUAAGGGGGGUGAAGUCGUAACAGGGUAGCCGUACUGGAAAGUGCGGCUGGAUCA
rnacentral:rRNA from 1 species